rnacentral:rRNA from 1 species
UCCUGACUGACCGAUAGUGAACCAGUACCGUGAGGGAAAGGCGAAAAGAACCCCGGCGAGGGGAGUGAAAAAGAACCUGAAACCGUGUACGUACAAGCAGUGGGAGCACGCUUAGGCGUGUGACUGCGUACCUUUUGUAUAAUGGGUCAGCGACUUAUAUUCUGUAGCAAGGUUAACCGAAUAGGGGAGCCGAAGGGAAACCGAGUCUUAACUGGGCGUUAAGUUGCAGGGUAUAGACCCGAAACCCGGUGAUCUAGCCAUGGGCAGGUUGAAGGUUGGGUAACACUAACUGGAGGACCGAACCGACUAAUGUUGAAAAAUUAGCGGAUGACUUGUGGCUGGGGGUGAAAGGCCAAUCAAACCGGGAGAUAGCUGGUUCUCCCCGAAAGCUAUUUAGGUAGCGCCUCGUGAAUUCAUCUCCGGGGGUAGAGCACUGUUUCGGCAAGGGGGU